GCAUCUUCGAAUUCAGACUGCCUAAGCCAUUCCAUUAGCAAAAAUUCAAAGGCAUCCUUUUGGUGGUUCUUCACUGCAACGUGUAAAGCAGUAUCGCCUUGAAAGGUAACAUCUUUAAUAGAUUCGGGGCAGCCUUUAUAGCAUUCUCUCAAAAUGGACAAGUUUCCUUGUUCAGCUGCAUAAUGCAAAGGAGUGCAACCUCCUUUUCCUUUGACACGGACAAGGUUUCCAUCAACAUCGAUGAGCCACUUCACCAUUAGCAUGUCCUUAUUCUGCAAAGCACAGUGCAUGGGGCUAAACCCAUCUGGGUUUA
rnacentral:misc_RNA from 1 species